ACAGUGCCUGGUGGGUAGUUUGACUGGGGCGGUCUCCUCCCAAAGAGUAACGGAGGAGCACGAAGGUGGGCUAAUCACGGUUGGACAUCGUGAGGUUAGUGCAAUGGCAUAAGCCCGCUUGACUGCGAGAAUGACAAUUCGAGCAGGUGCGAAAGCAGGUCAUAGUGAUCCGGUGGUUCUGAAUGGAAGGGCCAUCGCUCAACGGAUAAAAGGUACUCCGGGGAUAACAGGCUGAUACCGCCCAAGAGUUCAUAUCGACGGCGGUGUUUGGCACCUCGAUGUCGGCUCAUCACAUCCUGGGGCUGAAGUCGGUCCCAAGGGUAUGGCUGUUCGCCAUUUAAAGUGGUACGCGAGCUGGGUUUAGAACGUCGUGAGACAGUUCGGUCCCUAUCUGCCGUGGGCGUUGGAAGAUUGAAGGGGGCUGCUCCUAGUACGAGAGGACCGGAGUGGACGAACCUCUGGUGUUCGGGUUGUGUCGCCAGACGCAUUGCCCGGUAGCUAAGUUCGGAAUCGAUAACCGCUGAAAGCAUCUAAGCGGGAAGCGAGCCCUGAGAUGAGUCUUCCCUGAUACUUUAAGUAUCCUAAAGGGUUGUCGGAGACUACGACGUUGAUAGGUCAGGUGUGUAAGUGCUGUGAGGCAUUGAGCUAACUGAUACUAAUUGCCCGUGAGGCUUAACCAUACAACACCCAAGGGGUUU
rnacentral:rRNA from 1 species